GACGAACGCUGGCGGCGUGCCUAAUACAUGCAAGUCGAGCGGGGAUUAUGCUUGAUCGCUUCGGUGAGACGGCAUAUAUCCUAGCGGCGGACGAGUGAGUAACGCGUGGGUAAUCUACCUCGUAGUUCGGGAUAACAGGCCGAAAGGCUUGCUAAUACCGGAUGAGUUCAUGCUUAUGCAUAUAGGCAUGAAGAAAGGGCUAGCCCGCUAUGAGAUGAGCCCGCGUCCCAUUAGCUUGUUGGUGGGGUAAUGGCCUACCAAGGCAACGAUGGGUAGCCGGCCUGAGAGGGUGUACGGCCACACUGGGACUGAGACACGGCCCAGACUCCUACGGGGGCAGCAGUAGGGAAUUUUCGGCAAUGGGCGAAAGCCUGACCGAGCGACGCCGCGUGAGGGACGAAGGCCUUCGGGUUCGUAAACCGUCUGUCGUGGGGGGAGUGGAGAACGGACGGUACCCCGGAGGAACGCCCCGGACGUAACUACGUCGCCAGCCGCCGCGGUAACCACCCGACGAGAGUACG
rnacentral:rRNA from 1 species